rnacentral:lncRNA from 1 species
AAUUAACCUCAUAUAUAUGUACAUAUAUUUAAUUUGUAAAUGAAGAAAUUACAUAGAAAUUUUUAGGUUGGGGUUCAAAUUACACUAGUCAUUGAGAAACUAUAUUGUAAAAAUAAAUAUAUCAUAUAAUAGCUUAAAAGAUUAUUAAUGAAAAUGUGAAUGAUAUUGAUAUUACCCAUUGUAGAAAAUACCAUCAACAAUUAUUAAUUACCUCAUGAAGAACGCUCAAUAUUUCUUGCAAGAUUGAGAAUUCAUGUUUGAGUGCUUCCAAUUGCAUGAUACACCUAU